rnacentral:lncRNA from 1 species
UUCUCAUGGCGAUUGGAGAAUAUAAAACCCUAAAAUGGAAAGCAGAGGAGUGACUGGAAAUAAAGCUUUAGAAACUGAAUACAUGGCUGUGAAUGGUAACAACGUCUCUUUCCUAGGGAUAAGGAUCGACUGAGAAAAUCCUCCACGGUGGGUUAGAAGAUGCUAAAGAAACAUUGAAAUAUUUGAGCUACAGACUCAGAUGGCCAAGAGGCUCCAGAGGGGCAGGCCUGGUGAUGAAUGGAGCUGCAGAGAUUGCACCUGCCGAGGGUGAGAGACAGAAAAGUGGCAGAACCUAAACCAGUGCCCCGGCCCCCACCCAGCCUUUGCAAUCACCCAUUGAGUACCCCGUGUCCGGUGACUUGAGAUCAAGACCAAGGAGAAAAGAAAAGUUCACAUGUCAAAAAUAUAUCCACAAGCUUCAACCAAACAAUAACUUCGAAACAUGCCUUUCUCUCUCUCUUGGAAAAGGAUUUCUGAAUGUCGGAGUGAGAUUUGUUACCUGAUGAUGCCUCAGGUCUGUGAAGACUUCUCCUCCCAGUGUGUUCCUGUUUCCGACCUUUGACACUGCCCGAACUUCAAUCAGAUCUUCAGAAACCUGCCUCUCUUCUGUACAUCAAAAGCACAGACAGGCUGAUGGGGACUCGGGGCACUUAUCAUUUGUGAAGCUGGCAGUGAGACAAGAUGCUCCAGCCACUGUGUGGCUGUUAGACUCCGGAGUCAGAGCUCCGUGCCAUGGGGAAAAUACAGGAGGCCCUUGGAGGUUGUCGGGCAAAUGGGAAGAUGAAUCUCACACUUAUAAGAGACGGGCAUCAGCCCCCACACUUCUGAGACGCCUUGAGCCUUUCGGGACAAAUGCAUGAGGAAUCAGCUCAGUAAGGUGCGUGGGGCGUGGGGUGAAGUACAGACCCAUAGGAUGUGGUUCCAGGUGGAGGACAUUUUCUAGCAGAGAUUUAGAUGCUGUACCAUAUAAGGGGCAGCCAAGAUAGAGUGAUGGGGUCAGGUUACACCCCGGCUGAAACAGCCUGACCAAGUAUAUGAAGCAACAGUUUUCAGGACACUGGACAUCAGGCAGUGAAGGGCAGUGGUCCCCAGGAAAUGAGAAACAUCAGACUGUAAGCCCAAGUUCACCACCUGGACAGAGUUU